rnacentral:rRNA from 1 species
CAGUCGCCACGGUAAUACAGAGGGUGCGAGCGUUAAUCGGAUUUACUGGGCGUAAAGCGUGUGUAGGUUGUUGUUCAAGUCAGUUGUGAAAUCCCUGGGCUCAACCUGGGAACUGCUUCUGAGACUGAACGACUAGAGUACGGUAGAGGGUGGUGGAAUUUCCGGUGUAGCGGUGAAAUGCGUAGAUAUCGGAAGGAACAUCAAUGGCGAAGGCAGCCACCUGGGCCUGUACUGACACUGAGACACGAAAGCGUGGGGAUCAAACAGGAUUAGAUACCCGUGUAGUCCCUGUCUCUUAUAC